GCCUGCUUAGCUCAGAG
rnacentral:tRNA from 3 species